UACGAAGGGGGCUAGCGUUGUUCGGAUUUACUGGGCGUAAAGCGCACGUAGGCGGAUCGUUAAGUCGGGGGUGAAAUCCUGGAGCUCAACUCCAGAACUGCCUUCGAUACUGGCGAUCUCGAGUCCGGAAGAGGUGAGUGGAACUCCGUAGUGUAGAGGUGGAAUUCGUAGAUAUUAGGAAGAACACCAGUGGCGAAGGCGACUCACUGGUCCGGUACUGACGCUGAGGUGCGAAAGCGUGGGGAGCAAACAGG
rnacentral:rRNA from 1 species